GAUGAACGCUGGCGGCGUGCUUAACACAUGCAAGUCGAACGAUGAAGCCCAGCUUGCUGGGUGGAUUAGUGGCGAACGGGUGAGUAACACGUGAGUAACCUGCCCCUGACUCUGGGAUAAGCCCGGGAAACUGGGUCUAAUACCGGAUAGGAGCGCCUGUCGCAUGACGGGUGUUGGAAAGAUUUUUCGGUCAUGGAUGGACUCGCGGCCUAUCAGCUUGUUGGUGAGGUAAUGGCUCACCAAGGCGACGACGGGUAGCCGGCCUGAGAGGGUGACCGGCCACACUGGGACUGAGACACGGCCCAGACUCCUACGGGAGGCAGCAGUGGGGAAUAUUGCACAAUGGGCGGAAGCCUGAUGCAGCGACGCCGCGUGAGGGAUGACGGCCUUCGGGUUGUAAACCUCUUUUCAGUAGGGAAGAAAGCGAAAAGGG
rnacentral:rRNA from 1 species